rnacentral:misc_RNA from 1 species
UACAGAGGGUGCAAACGUUGCUCGGAAUUACUGGGCGUAAAGCGCGUGUAGGCGGUCAACUAAGUCGACUGUGAAAGCCCAGGGCUCAACCCUGGAAGUGCGGUCGAUACUGGAUGACUGGAGUCCUGGAGAGGGUGGCGGAAUUCCCAGUGUAGAGGUGAAAUUCGUAGAUAUUGGGAGGAACACCGGUGGCGAAGGCGGCCACCUGGACAGGUACUGACGCUGAGACGCGAAAGCGUGGGGAGCAAACAGG